GCCGUGGCCUCGUGGGGGGCGAGCGAGGGCGAUCGCCGGAUCGCGCUCUUCAAGGCCGGCGACGUGUGGUGUGCGUGCGUCCCCUGCCCUGCUGCUCAUCUUCAUGUCCGGCGGGGCACCGAUGACCGAUCGAGAGGAAAGCUUUGGACCAAGCUGGCGGGUUCGUUUUCUUCUGCGGCGAGUGCGCGGCGCACAGCAGGAUCGGCGCAGCAAUGCCUGCCGCCAGCGCUGGUGCCCGUGCCACGGCGGCACAUGGAAAUGGAACGCGCGCGUGCGUGCCCACAACCUGUUCGUGACAAUGCCUUUGCGCCGGAGGUUGGAUCGAGUCGGCUCAUCGCCGAUGAAGUUGACAACUGACAAGAGAGGUGCUAAUCCUUUUCGCUUCUGAUAAUCAGUCAGGUACGACCGCUCAGUUUUGUCUUUCUAUCUCGUACAGUGCAGAAUACAGACUAGAGACCUCAUCUCUUCGCUGAGGCGCAUCAUCUACACUAACACUGAUGGAUGAGAUAUCUCUUGUUUCAUUCACUGCUUGUUAAAAUCACAAAAAAAAAAAAGCUAAGACUGAAAUAUCUCCGAUCCAUCCCCUUUUAUGCAUGCCGUCCGUUGAAGAAAAUAUCUCCUAGCCGGGUUUUUGGAUAAGUCUACUACUAGUGCGUGUGAGGUUCUGAGCACAGCGUUGCAACCAAGAAGCCGCCAACAAAGCACUUGCUGCAGUCCAGCUAGCAAAUCCAAAGCUCUCCCCUGCAGUCCUGCACCAUGCUCUGAUCAGUGAUCACUCUCUUUCUCGCGGGCGAAACUAAAUUCCGGUCCGGGGGACGACGGUCGACGACGAUGGACAUCAUCAACGGCGCCGUGCUCCCGAGCUACCACGCCGCGGCUCCCGUCACGGGCGCUGCGGCGGCGGCCUCCGUCGCCGACGCGAGGGUCAGCGGCCACCUCCAGCUGCUCCGGCGCGUGCGCGUCAGAGGAACCGGAGGCGCCGGGCUGCUGCAUGCGACGACGGCCCGCGCCGGCGUGCCGCGCAGGUUCUUCUCCCUCUCCCCGCCGCAGCAGCACGGGCACGGGAGGACCGGAUGGCGGCCGGCUCGCUGCACCCUCGGCGGCUCCUCCUCCGACGGCGACGGCGCCGCCGCCGCGGACUUCGACGCCAGCGGCGAGGAGUUCGUCGACUCCAGCGUCAUGGAGGCCGGUUGGUUUGAGCUCAGGAGCGUGUCGGACGGCGGUUUCGUCAUCAAGAUGCGCGACGGCAAGAACCUGAGGUGCGUGCAGAACAACCCUCGGGUGCUCAGGCUCCGGGACUCGGCGCCGCACCACGCGAUUGUGCUCAAGAUGGAAGACGGCAGCGACCUCCUGCUCCCCAUCAUCGUCAUGGAGACGCCGAGCAUCAUGUUGCUGGCUGCUCUUCGGAACAUCCGAAUUCCAAGGCCAACUAUCUACAACGUGGUAUUGGAGAUGACUACCAGGAUGGGAUAUGAGGUGCGUUUGGUGCGGAUUACAGAAAUGGUCCAUGACGCAUACUAUUCUCGACUGUAUCUUGCAAAGAUUGGGAAUGACCAAGACACUAUUAGUUUUGACCUCAAGCCAUCGGAUGCUAUCAACAUUGCUUUCCGUUGCAAGGUCCCUAUACAAGUUAACAGGCGUAUUGCAUAUAACAAUGGAUUGAAAGUCGUGCAACCAAAGGUGGCUGAGAGUUAUGUAGGCUCCGACGACAUUCAAAUCACAAGGCUUGACAGGCCUGAUGACCAACAUUGCAGUGAGGCCCAAGAGUUUGAUUUGGUCCGGAAUAUGCUCAUCGCUGCAGUGGAAGAACGCUACAAAGAUGCUGCUCAAUACAGAGACCAACUUUCCACGUUGCGGUCAAAGAAAAAGAACGCAAUAUAGGAUGGUGCACAAUUCAACUUGUUAGGCCUUGAUGGGGGUGUACAUAGGAGGCCUUUUGCUGAAGCACAUGAAGCUUCAGCAAACAUCUAAGAAGCACCAUGUAAAUACCUACAGAAUUUAUGUAUAGACACACGGAUAGUAUAAUUCUGGAUUCUUUAAUUAGCGCAUAGUUACAGUGAUUGUACUCAAACCCCUUUUGGUUGGGUUUCCCUGCUUUGGCUUCCAAAAAACAAAAGGCAACCAAAGGGGUGAGAAUUUAUAGGUGUUUUGGGGUAAAAGCAGCUUGAAGAGUAUCGAGCGUCCACUACUACAGAAAUGACCAUUACGGGUAGCUAUAUCGCCGCUGUUUGUUUUUAAAUCGGCAAUCGGUUAUGAAGAAAAAAUAGCAUCACUAUCGGGGUUCGACGAA